GAUGAACGCUGGCGGCGUGCCUAAUACAUGCAAGUCGAGCGACCACAUAAUGAGCUUUCUCCUCUAACGUUAGCGGCUGACGGGUGAGUAACACGUGCAUCACCUUCUUAUUUUACUUGGAUAAUUUCGUGAAACCGGUUCUAAUACUACAUCAUAUAUUCUACCGCUUGGUUCAAUAGUUAUUGACACUUUUCCUGUUUCUUUUAGCUGGUUUCGCGCUGCAUUAGCUAGUUGGUAAGGUAACGGCUUACCAAGGCAACGAUGCGUAGCCGACCUGAGAGGAUGAUCAGCCACACUGGAACUGAGACACGGUCCAGACUCCUACGGGAGGCAGCAGUAGGGAAUAUUCCGCAAUGGGCGAAAGCCUGACGGAGCAACACCGCGUGAGUGAAGAAGGUCUUCGGAUCGUAAAGCUCUGUUAUUAGGGAAGAAAAAAUGUAGAAGUAAAUAUGCACGUCUUGACGGUACCUAAUCAGAAAGCAACGGCUAACUACGUG
rnacentral:rRNA from 1 species